AACUUUCUGAGAAGUUCGUGCUGAGACAAUAUACAUAUUGAGCCAACAUUUGAAGAACGGGAGGCUAAUGCCGUUUUCGGUGCAAUCUUUCGAGGUUAAAGAAUGCCAUAGAAAGUGGCUUUGAUGUUCUUUCGGGAACAGAAUGCCACCCACCUGUAAAAAAACAGGUUCAAUUCAUUUGUUCUCAAACGGCUUUCCGGUAUUCUC
rnacentral:other from 1 species